UACGUAGGCAGCGAGCGUUGUUCGGAGUUACUGGGCGUAAAGGGUGUGUAGGCGGUUGUUUUAAGUUUGGUGUGAAAUCUCCCGGCUCAACUGGGAGGGUGCGCCGAAUACUGAAUGACUUGGAGUGCGGGAGAGGAGAGUGGAAUUCCUGGUGUAGCGGUGAAAUGCGUAGAUAUCAGGAGGAACACCGGUGGUGUAGACGGCUCUCUGGACCGUAACUGACGCUGAGACACGAAAGCGUGGGUAGCAAACAGG
rnacentral:rRNA from 1 species